AACAAACGCUGGCGGCGUGCCUAAUACAUGCAAGUCGAACGGGGAAAGCUUUCGGGUGAGUACUAGUGGCGCACGGGUGAGGAACGCGUGGAUAAUCUGCCUUGGAGUGGGGGAUAACUAGUCGAAAGAUUAGCUAAUACCGCAUAAGACCACAGGAGCUGCGGCUCUAGGGGUCAAAGGUUUUUCGUUCCAAGAUGAGUCCGCGUAAGAUUAGCUAGUUGGUGAGGUAAUGGCUCACCAAGGCGACGAUCUUUAACUGGUCUGAGAGGAUGAUCAGUCACACUGGAACUGAGACACGGUCCAGACUCCUACGGGAGGCAGCAGUAGGGAAUAUUGCACAAUGGGGGAAACCCUGAUGCAGCGACGCCGCGUGAGUGAUGAAGGCCUUCAGGUCGUAAAGCUCUGUCGCAGGGGAAUAACAAAAUGAAGGUACCCUGUAAGAAAGGAUCGGCUAACUUCGUGCCAGCCGCCGCAGUAAAAC
rnacentral:rRNA from 1 species